ACGCUCGACACCUACGGGAGGCAGCAGUGGGGAAUAUUGCACAAUGGGGGAAACCCUGAUGCAGCAACGCCGCGUGAAGGAAGACGGUUUUCGGAUUGUAAACUUCUGUUCUUAGUGAAGAUAGUGACGGUAGCUAAGGAGCAAGCCACGGCUAACUACGUGCCAACAGCCACGGUAAUCUGAGCGGGCUGGCAAGGC
rnacentral:rRNA from 1 species